GAUAAGUUCAGGAAAAAUAAGUGAAAAAUAAGGUGAAUAGAACGCAGCCUUAGGAUACAAUUUUUAGAUAAGACUUUCAAACCUUCCGUGUAACUUUCUCGUAAAAAAUAAUAAUAAAAUUAAAAAAAAAAAAAAAACAUUGGAAACGGACCAUGAUAGUUACGGAAAAGAAUUUGGUUUUUGCUGGUGAAGGAAGAGGGCUAGGGUAUUUAUACAACACAUCACACAUGUGAAUCCACAAAGAAAUCAGACAUACAUUCAUAACCACUGGUUUGGUUUGGGCUUGAAGGGAGGAACCUAAAUCCUAAAUUCUAAAGCAACGACGUAAAAAGACCACAAUUCAAAAGGCAUAAGCGAGAGAAUGGAGGCGCCCACAACUCAAGCAGUAGAGCAGCCAAGCAGGGGAUAUCUAGGCACUGAUGAUCCUGAAGAGAAACUUCUCGAUCAAAGUUGUUCCUGCCUGUUCGAUUGUAUUCAAGGCCUGUUCGACUUCCUCUGCUGCAAUUCUGAUUUUUGUUGUUAAUUUUUAUUAAUUUAUUAAUAGGACUGUAAUAAAUUACUCAUUAAUCUUAUUAUUCGUCAAUUGACUUAUGCAAUUGACCUAACUUGAUUACUAAUUUCAAAUACUCGAUUUCUGAAUUUCAAAUAGAAAUAUCAAGUUGAAGUUGAUGAUGUUUUAUUAAUUGUUCUAUUAUUAACAUGUUUAGUAAUCUGGAUAUCUAAUGACAUUACCGGACUAAUUCUUUACCAA